CGGGGGGGCGUGCUAUACAUGCAAGUCGAGCGAACAGAUGAGAAGCUUGCUUCUCUGAUGUUAGCGGCGGACGGGUGAGUAACACGUGGGUAACCUACCUAUAAGACUGGGAUAACUCCGGGAAACCGGGGCUAAUACCGGAUAAUAUUUUGAACCGCAUGGUUCAAUAGUGAAAGACGGUUUCGGCUGUCACUUAUAGAUGGACCCGCGCCGUAUUAGCUAGUUGGUAAGGUAACGGCUUACCAAGGCGACGAUACGUAGCCGACCUGAGAGGGUGAUCGGCCACACUGGAACUGAGACACGGUCCAGACUCCUACGGGAGGCAGCAGUAGGGAAUCUUCCGCAAUGGGCGAAAGCCUGACGGAGCAACGCCGCGUGAGUGAUGAAGGUCUUCGGAUCGUAAAACUCUGUUGUUAGGGAAGAACAAAUUUGUUAGUAACUGAACAAGUCUUGACGGUACCUAACCAGAAAGCCACGGCUAACUACGUGCCAGCAGCCGCGGUAAUACGUAGGUGGCAAGCGUUAUCCGGAAUUAUUGGGCGUAAAGCGCGCGUAGGCGGUUUCUUAAGUCUGAUGUGAAAGCCCACGGCUCAACCGUGGAGGGUCAUUGGAAACUGGGAAACUUGAGUGCAGAAGAGGAGAGUGGAAUUCCAUGUGUAGCGGUGAAAUGCGCAGAGAUAUGGAGGAACACCAGUGGCGAAGGCGGCUCUCUGGUCUGUAACUGACGCUGAUGUGCGAAAGCGUGGGGAUCAAACAGGAUUAGAUACCCUGGUAGUCCACGCCGUAAACGAUGAGUGCUAAGUGUUAGGGGGUUUCCGCCCCUUAGUGCUGCAGCUAACGCAUUAAGCACUCCGCCUGGGGAGUACGACCGCAAGGUUGAAACUCAAAGGAAUUGACGGGGACCCGCACAAGCGGUGGAGCAUGUGGUUUAAUUCGAAGCAACGCGAAGAACCUUACCAAAUCUUGACAUCCUUUGACCGCUCUAGAGAUAGAGUCUUCCCCUUCGGGGGACAAAGUGACAGGUGGUGCAUGGUUGUCGUCAGCUCGUGUCGUGAGAUGUUGGGUUAAGUCCCGCAACGAGCGCAACCCUUAAGCUUAGUUGCCAUCAUUAAGUUGGGCACUCUAGGUUGACUGCCGGUGACAAACCGGAGGAAGGUGGGGAUGACGUCAAAUCAUCAUGCCCCUUAUGAUUUGGGCUACACACGUGCUACAAUGGAUAAUACAAAGGGCAGCGAAUCCGCGAGGCCAAGCAAAUCCCAUAAAAUUAUUCUCAGUUCGGAUUGUAGUCUGCAACUCGACUACAUGAAGCUGGAAUCGCUAGUAAUCGUAGAUCAGCAUGCUACGGUGAAUACGUUCCCGGGUCUUGUACACACCGCCCGUCACACCACGAGAGUUUGUAACACCCGAAGCCGGUGGAGUAACCUUUUAGGAGCUAGCCUCGAGCCCCCCCCCUUU
rnacentral:rRNA from 1 species